rnacentral:siRNA from 1 species
UUCCACCUACGAAGACCGUCA